rnacentral:rRNA from 1 species
AGAGUUUGAUCCUGGCUCAGAUUGAACGCUAGCGGCAUGCUUAACACAUGCAAGUCGAACGGUAACAGUGCCAGCUUGCUGGCAGCUGACGAGUGGCGGACGGGUGAGUAACGCGUAGGAAUUUACCUUGUAGUGGGGGACAACCCGGGGAAACUCGGGCUAAUACCGCAUAAUCUCUACGGAGCAAAGAGGGCCUCUAUUUAUAUGCUCUCGCUAUUAGAUGAGCCUGCGUCGGAUUAGCUUGUUGGUGGGGUAAUGGCCUACCAAGGCGACGAUCCGUAGCUGGUCUGAGAGGACGACCAGCCACACUGGGACUGAGACACGGCCCAGACUCCUACGGGAGGCAGCAGUGGGGAAUAUUGGACAAUGGGCGCAAGCCUGAUCCAGCAAUGCCGCGUGUGUGAAGAAGGCCUUCGGGUUGUAAAGCACUUUCAGUGGGGAAGAAAGGCUUAAGGUUAAUAACCUUAAGAGUUGACGUUACCUACAGAAGAAGCACUGGCUAACUCUGUGCCAGCAGCCGCGGUAAUACAGAGAGUGCAAGCGUUAAUCGGAAUUACUGGGCGUAAAGCGCGCGUAGGUGGAUACUUCAGUCGGAUGUGAAAGCCCUGGGCUUUACCUAGGAACUGCAUUCGAUACUGGGUAACUAGAGUAUGGUAGAGGGGAGUGGAAUUUCCGGUGUAGCGGUGAAAUGCGUAGAUA